rnacentral:rRNA from 1 species
UACGUAGGGGGCGAGCGUUGUCCGGAAUCAUUGGGCGUAAAGCGCGUGUAGGCGGCCCGGUAAGUCCGCUGUGAAAGUCCAGGGCUCAACCCUGGGAUGCCGGUGGAUACUGUCGGGCUCGAGUCCGGAAGAGGCGAGUGGAAUUCCUGGUGUAGCGGUGAAAUGCGCAGAUAUCAGGAGGAACACCAAUGGCGAAGGCAGCUCGCUGGGACGUGACUGACACUGAGGCGCGAAAGCUAGGGGAGCAAACGGG